CACCAGCACUAACAACAACACACACUCCAAAUGUGACAGAGAAGCCCAUUGAAUUUAAUGUGACCUUCACAAUCACCAACCUUGAGUUUACACAAAGUCUACAAGAUUCUAGUUCUUUGUUAUACAGUUCUGCAUCAAAUAUAAUUUCCCACCAGCUCACUGCCCUGUUCAACAGGAGUAAAAUUAAUGCAACACUUUCACGUUGCGAAGUUGCUUCAUUUAGCCUUGCAAGUCUUGGAAACACCAGCGUGUAUGCAAUCUGCACGUUCAGAAAUGAUUCUACUGCUCAG